UGGGGAAUUUUGGACAAUGGGCGAAAGCCUGAUCCAGCAAUGCCGCGUGUGUGAAGAAGGCCUUCGGGUUGUAAAGCACUUUUGUCCGGAAAGAAAUCCUUGGCUCUAAUACAGUCGGGGGAUGACGGUACCGGAAGAAUAAGCACCGGCUAACUACGUGCCAGCAGCCGCGGUAAUACGUAGGGUGCAAGCGUUAAUCGGAAUUACUGGGCGUAAGCGUGCGCAGGCGGUUUGCUAAGACCGAUGUGAAAUCCCCGGGCUCAACCUGGGAACUGCAUUGGUGACUGGCAGGCUAGAGUAUGGCAGAGGGGGGUAGAAUUCCACGUGUAGCAGUGAAAUGCGUAGAGAUGUGGAGGAAUACCGAUGGCGAAGGCAGCCCCCUGGGCCAAUACUGACGCUCAUGCACGAAAGCGUGGGGAGCAAACAGGAUUAGAUACCCUGGUAGUCCACGCCCUAAACGAUGUCAACUAGUUGUUGGGGAUUCAUUUCCUUAGUAACGUAGCUAACGCGUGAAGUUGACCGCCU
rnacentral:rRNA from 1 species